ensembl:rRNA 5S_rRNA 5S ribosomal RNA
GUCUACGGCCAUACCACCCCGAAUGUGCCUGAUCUCGGAAGCUAAGCAGGGCCAGGCCUGGUUAGUAUUUGGAUGGGAAACAAAUGGGACUUCUUUCUUUAGUAAUACUGGUCAAACA